AUUUUUAGCUGUGUAUACAGGACUUGUGCAGGUACUCUGUACUCAUUCUGCCCUGGCUUCAGACCAGGAGUUUGUGAGCUUAGUGUGAUCGAUCAUGAUAGCAGGACAUGGUUAUUAAGCCUGCUAGUCUCUGGGUCAGCUCAGAAAGCAAUCAGAGUAAGCUCACACCUCUCUAGAGCUGUCUUUUUUGGUCCUAAGUGACUGCCUGUCCAGGGAGGUGACUAUGUGUCAAGCCAGGACACAGAGGCUGUGAAACACUAGCUGCUCCAAAAUAUCCAUGUAGGCGGCAUACACAGAUCACCAAGACCAAAGGCAAGCUACAUGUUCCAGCAGAAGAGUGGACGGUGCAUUCCCAUCUUAUUCAGAGUGUAAUGACUAUGGCACUUCUGGGCUUACUUACAAUGGAGACAGGACUACUUUGGAGGCCCAAAAGUGACAAAAAUGACUCUAAUGAUCCUUUGGCAAGAUGCUGCGAAUUCACAGGAGGUGGAAUUUGGAGCCAUAAGGCAGCCAAGGGAGGCUUCUUUCCAAGCUGAGCCAGCUGCUAGCGCAGAGAGGAAGGUGAAGGAGUGAAUAUGAGCUCUUGUAUCUGAUUAUAAGUUCUUCUCUCCUGGCUGAUCUGCAAGAGCUGAGCUGCUGGAAAACCUAAAGAGAAGUGAGAUAAGCCAAGCAGAGGUGAAAUUUACAGGUUGCAUAACCCAGCUCUAGAUAUUUCUAGACUCUCUGAAUUCAUAUACUCCAUUUUCUGCAUCGGUGCUGAGACAGAUAUACGAAAAGAUUUUUUCCUUCCAAUUUUCUUUGGUCAUAGAAGAACUCAGAGCAUAUUUAUUGGUUAUGUAAAGAGUAGCAAAACAGAAUAAGUAAUGACACAGACAGGAAGCCUUGGUUAUUUCUUACAGCUUUACAUUUUUUAUUUACUGAGGACAUGUAGAAGUAAUCAGAUAAUUGAGCAUUUGAUCACAUCUUCUGUCCUGAAUAAAGCUUUGCUUCUACAAGCACAGAAUAGUUUAAGACUCUGCAUGUCUCACUUGUGGAUGAUAAUUAGAUCUUUAAGCAUUUAAUUGGACUUGCACAUAAUUACAGGUAGUAAAGAAAGCGUUUGAAAAAUGAAUUUCCAUUUCCAAAUAAGUUUGCCAGAUGGUUUUAUUUUCAUAUUUAAAAUAAGUGUACACUGUCUGGGCAAAUGUCUCGUCUUUUUCCUGAGAAGUAGAACUAGACGUGAAAGGGUAGUACCUUCUAAUUUCUUUAGUCUAUAGUCAUUUGCUCAGGCUAUCAAUGAUGGAUCCAGUUAACAAUAGAUGUGCAGGUGUAUUUUAUCUAUGUCCCACUCAAAUAUCCUUUUUACAUGGAAAGACCAAUGACUGGUUCAUUUAAUAUAGUAACAAGUAACUGUUCAAUAUAGUCAUUAUUAUCAUAGAAAAUUGUAACUUUUGAUCAACAGCAACAAAUCUAUAACUCCUCUUGAGCUGGCAAUCUGCAGGGAACAAUUUUCAUUCCAUUAUCAACUGCAGUAGUAGUAUUGUGUUAUUAAGUACUUUUGUUCAGUAUUUUGUUUUGGCUGAAUAUAAUAAUAAAACGUAUGUGUAAGAAGUCAGAGCCAUUUUUAUCCUCGAUUUUGUUGUGUGUGAUGUCCAUACUGCAGAUGAUAUACUUCAACAGAAAAGCCUCUAAGGAGUCAGGAUCACAAGACGUGUAUUGUUAUUGAUGUGCAUUGCAUAGGUUUAUAGAUAACACAGUUUCAAAUACAGCAUUGUAUAUUUUUGGCCAUGACAAUCUGUGUUAAGUUUUAGAGAAAGCUGUGUGAAGGAAAACCUCAUAGUGUUGUGCAGAUAUGUUUAAAGUUUAAAAAAUAUAUUUUUAAGAAAGUUUUAUUUUGGCAAACUCUGAAAUAACAGUUCCCCAAACACAGAUUUCAGAAAACAUGGUGUUUGGUAAACACCCUCAUUCCAUUAUAGAAACACUACUGUACAUGGUUGGUAUGCAAAAGGAAACUGAAACAGAAAAAGAAAGACAAAUUUUGAAAUUAUGUACAAUUUUGCUUAUGAAUACUGAGUGAUUAAUUAUUCUUAAACCACUUAUUCAAUCAGCUUUUUCUUUUAAAUUUUGUUUGAUUUUCAAGUUUAUAUAAACUGGUAGAACUGUAACAUCAUCACAUCUUACAUGCAGAAAAGAUCAUUUUCAUUUCCUCGGAAUUAUCUAGGUUUCCAUGUAUUUGGCAAAUUUCAUGUGUUACAGUGGCUCUUGUAAUAGAACAAACAGAUUAUCAAGCUUUCUUUGUGGUACAGAAGAGAUCACGUGCUUUCCGUGAUACGUGAACGUGAAAAAGGACAGUCUUAGUCCACCUUAUGUCAUUUUGGGUUUGAUUUUUCUUUUUUUUUGGACAACAUGUAUUUUUUGUAAAUGUUUAUAAUUUUUAAUAAAUUUUUCAGUACAUACUGAAAAUAUUUAUUUACAACUUUCUCUUUUUAGUUUAAAAUUGUGAUGUGACAUUGAAAAUCUGGGGAGUUCUCUUCAGAAAUUCUACAGAUACACUCAGCUAAUGAAACUUUAGUGAAACUAUGUUAGAGGUUAGCCUUGAUCCCUCCAGAUAACCAUUAAAAAAAAGGCAAAGGUUGCCCAACUGAAAUUUCACUCUACAUGUGGGAUGAUCUGACUAUGAUCUAUUCUGUUUCAGUCUAGAGCUGGAAGUCAUUUUAGCAAGCAAGUAUAAAAAAACUUAGUAAUCACUUCGACAAAGAGUCUUCUGGUUUAGUUCUCUGGCAUGGUAGCCAUUUUUUUUCCUUUCUUUUUGUUUUCUUUCUUAUCCUCUCUAUAUGAAGGAAUAGAUUAAUUCACAAAUUCUUAUUUUCUUUGUCACUGGGCUGUGCUGCUGCCUAUCACAAUUUGAGGGGUUGUUCAGCUUGUCAGUUCAGUCAAUUUCUCCAAGUUUCCUUCAGUCAUUUCCUUUGUCUUCUUUGAAGAAUCAUUCUAUUUCAGGUCAUUUAAAAUUGAGUGGUGCCAGGAAACUGAAAUAGGUUUAACAGUAAUCUUGUUCCUUUUUGUAUCAUUCUCCUGCACAAGACAGUAAGCUUCAGAUUUUCAACACAGAUGUUUAUUCAAUACUUAUCUUUUCAUUUUCUGGCUAAGAGUCUUGAAAGGAGGCAUCUGAGACAUUGUGAGACUUCUCAGUCAUGGGCUUGUAACUCGAUUUCUUUGCAGAAAGAACAGUCUAUAAGAUUUAGAGGCUUUCAAAAAAACAGAAUUCAUACAUUGGGUUGGUUUGACCAUCUCUGAACCCUGAAUGCAAAUCUGCAUGACUUUCACUACCAAUUCCACUGCAUUUGCUAUAUCUAAUACUUUGAGACAGUUAUUACAUUUCAAUCCUCCAAAUAUUGCCACAAGAUAGGCAUAUGUCCUAUAUUAUAUCCUCCAGGAUGUUUCCAAGUGUUUAACAAUCAGAUAAUUGUUUUUGCUCUUAUCAAAACGACAGUUUCACCUUGUUUCUCCAAUCUACUAAAAAGUCUGAAAUGUUCUAUAUUUAGUAGCUAUCACACAUUAGUGGCUUCAGUGGUCUUCUGUGAUUUUGGUGGUUUUGGCAACAAAAUUUUUCACAGGGAAAAGAUCUGAUUUUCACAAAUAUGAGAAGAUGGGAAAUAGGAGGAGGGAUAGAGGGAACAAAUCAGUGUUAAUCCUAAUCUGUGAUCUCAUGCAUAAGAAUUUGCCGUACCUUUUCAGUUGCUGCCAAUUCCAGUUUUCUGCCAAUUCCAGUUUUCUGCCAAACGUCAAUUUUCACACAGAGUGUGAAACACUUUCCAUUUCCAAACUUAUAACAGAUCUGCUGGACUUGAACUCACUCCAGUAAGUUGCAGUUAAUUUAAAUACAUCACAAGCAAAAUGAAAGGAAAGAUUUCACUUAAGCAGAGUAAAGGAAAUGAGUACUGCCCUUUUGGUCAGAUCAGACUUGUUAUAGAUGAGGCUGAUCCUCGUAAAAAUCAUUUAACAAAUGCUCUAGUUCAAUAGUAUGAAGAUAAAUGACAAAAUGCUUAUCGUUCAUUUUACUGGUAAACUAGAGACUAAACACAACACUUUGUACAAGAUAUUCUAAUAAG
ensembl:lncRNA